UCCGUAGGCGGGCAAUUAAGUCAGAGGUGAAAUCCCACAGCUCAACUGUGGAACUGCCUUUGACACUGGUUGUCUUGAGUUAUAGUGAAGUAGAUAGAAUAUGUAGUGUAGCGGUGAAAUGCAUAGAUAUUACAUAGAAUACCGAUUGCGAAGGCAGUCUACUAACUGUAUACUGACGCUAAUGGACGAAAGCGUGGGGAGCGAACAGGAUUAGAUACCCUGGUAGUCC
rnacentral:rRNA from 1 species